rnacentral:lncRNA from 1 species
CCUUUCUUCAAAUAUCUAAAAUUUUUUCAGAGAUUGAAGAUGAACUUCUAGAGGAGAUGAAGAGGUGAAAGAAAGAUAAAAAAAAAAUAAUUUUUUUAAUUUAUUCUCUCUUCCCAAAUUCUUAGAAUCAAAAAUCUGAAAUUCAGGUUUUUGCGCAUACCCCAAGAGAGAAAACCCUCCUCUCUAUUUUUCACAUCAUGAACCAUGCCC